UACGUAGGGGGCGAGCGUUGUCCGGAUUUAUUGGGCGUAAAGAGCGUGUAGGCGGCCAGGUAGGUCUGCUGUGAAAACUCGAGGCUCAACCUCGAGACGUCGGCGGAAACCAUCUGGCUAGAGUCCGGAAGAGGUGAGUGGAAUUCCUGGUGUAGCGGUGAAAUGCGCAGAUAUCAGGAGGAACACCAAUGGCGAAGGCAGCUCACUGGGACGUUACUGACGCUGAGACGCGAAAGCGUGGGGAGCAAACAGG
rnacentral:rRNA from 1 species